rnacentral:piRNA from 1 species
UGCGGUGGCACAUUCUCUCUCUAAAACUGC